rnacentral:rRNA from 1 species
UACGUAGGGGGCAAGCGUUGUCCGGAAUUAUUGGGCGUAAAGAGCUCGUAGGCGGUCUGUCGCGUCGGCUGUGAAAACCCGGGGCUCAACCCCGGGCCUGCAGUCGAUACGGGCAGACUAGAGUGUGGUAGGGGAGACUGGAAUUCCUGGUGUAGCGGUGAAAUGCGCAGAUAUCAGGAGGAACACCGGUGGCGAAGGCGGGUCUCUGGGCCAUAACUGACGCUGAGACGCGAAAGCGUGGGGAGCGAACAGG